rnacentral:rRNA from 1 species
CACGUAGGGCGCAAGCGUUGUCCGGAAUUAUUGGGCGUAAAGAGCUCGUAGCGGUCUGUUGCGUCCGCUGUGAAAACUCGGGGCUUAACCCCGAGCCUGCAGUGGAUACGGGCAGACUAGAGGUAGGUAGGGGAGAAUGGAAUUCCCGGUGUAGCGGUGAAAUGCGCAGAUAUCGGGAGGAACACCGGUGGCGAAGGCGGGUCUCUGGGCCGAUACUGACGCUGAGGAGCGAAAGCAUGGGGAGCGAACAGG